rnacentral:rRNA from 1 species
UACGGGGGGGGCAAGCGUUGUUCGGAAUUACUGGGCGUAAAGGGCUCGUAGGCGGCCAACUAAGUCAGACGUGAAAUCCCUCGGCUUAACCGGGGAACUGCGUCUGAUACUGGAUGGCUUGAGGUUGGGAGAGGGAUGCGGAAUUUCAGGUGUAGCGGUGAAAUGCGUAGAUAUCUGGAGGAAUACCGGUGGCGAAGGCGGCAUCCUGGACCAUUACUGACGCUGAGGCGCGAAAGCUAGGGGAGCAAACGGG